rnacentral:rRNA from 1 species
UCGGGAAUCUUGCGCAAUGGGCGAAAGCCUGACGCAGCAACGCCGUGUGGGCGAUUGAAGGCCUUCGGGUCGUAAAGCCCUGUUGGGGGGACGAAGGGCUUAUGAGGUUAAUAGCCUCUAAGCCUGACGGUACCCUUCGAGGAAGCCCCGGCUAACUACGUGCCAGCAGCCGCGGUAAUACGUAGGGGGCGAGCGUUGUCCGGAAUCAUUGGGCGUAAAGAGCGUGUAGGCGGGCUCGGGUAAGUCCGCCGUGAAAACCUGGGGCUCAACCCCAGGCUAGCGGUGGAUACUGUCGGGCUAGAGGACGGUAGAGGCGAGUGGAAUUCCCGGUGUAGCGGUGAAAUGCGCAGAUAUCGGGAGGAACACCAGCGGCGAAGGCGGCUCGCUGGGCCGUACCUGACGCUGAGACGCGAAAGCUAGGGGAGCGAACAGGAUUAGAUACCCUGGUAGUCCUAGCCGUAAACGAUGAACACUAGGUGUGGGGGAGUCGAAUCCCUCUGUGCCGCAGCCAACGCGAUAAGUGUUCCGCCU